GGGAACCAAUCAGAAUAACUGAAGUAUUGACCAGCAGAAAGACGGAAAAAAUAUUGACUGGUAAUAGAGAUGGAAAAAAUGAAGAUAUCUUGACACGGUAGAAGUACAAAGGGUAGAUAUGGAACCAAACAGAGACAACAGCAGACCACAACAAGAUUGGGAAUGGACAGAAACUAAUUAACAAAGACUGGAGAUUACAACAAAACAGAUGCCAAGAGAAAACUUGAUCCAGUGAAAUUCAAGAGAGCUGACAACAAAAACUGAUACUACUUGAUUGGGAAUUGAAGGCAAAGAGUAGGAGCUGACGAAUACGGGGAUCAAGAGGGAAAAACUGCUUGCUCGUAAAACUACUUUCAAGCGAAUCUGAUAAAAUUAUUUCAAUACUGGUGGGCGACUCCCUUUUAAACUGCAGAAGGAGAAAAAAGAAAUGUUCUGAAUUUCAAUGUAUUAAUUUUUAUCCUAAUUUAUGUUGAGACUCGUAAUCUCGUCUCAAUGAUUAAAUAGUAGAUAAUCUUUCUAACAAGUAUGUGAUGAAUAGAUAUAUUUUAGCAUAGGAAUGAAAGUACAAGUUGUGUCGCAUAGGAAUGAUAGUACAAGUUGUGUCAUAUUAGAAUACAAAUUUGACCUAAAAAUAUUGUUCUAUGACCUUUUAAUUAUUUGUCAGUUAAUAAUUAAGUCAUAUAAAAAAAAAAAAUCUGAAUUAGUCUUUAAGUAUUAUAAAUAUUUCUUGAUUUUUAAUUAUAAUAUCAUUAUUUAAAAAUAAUUGCUUGACUUACAUAGUAAGUCAAUAAAA
rnacentral:lncRNA from 1 species